rnacentral:rRNA from 1 species
AAGGUCCCUCACCCAAAAGGAACUAGUGGCAUGCUUGCUGGUUUCGCUCGAGGAUAGGGCCGCGUCCGAUCAGGUCGCUGGUGAGGUAACGGCUCACCAAGCCUAUAACCGGUACGGGCCGUGAGAGCGGGAGCCCGGAGAUGGGCACUGAGAUAAGGGCCCAGGCCCUACGGGGCGCAGCAGGCGCGAAAACUUCGCAAUGCGCGAAAGCGUGACGAGGUCACCCCGAGUGCCGUCCGCUGAGGAUGGCUUUUGCCCGGUCUAACCAGCCAGGUGAAUAAGGGGAGGGCAAGUCUGGUGUCAGCCGCCGCGGUAAUACCAGCUCCCCGAGUGGUUGGGACGAUUAUUGGGUCUGAAGCGUCCGUAGCCGGUCGGAAAAGUUCCCCGUUAAAUCUGGCGAUCCAAUCGUUGGGCUGCGGGGAAUACUCUUCGACUUGGGGGCGAGGGAGGUCGGCGGUAGUCCCGGGGUAGGGGCGAAAUCCUAUAAUCCCGGGAGGACCACCAGUGGCGAAGGCGGCCGACUAAAACGCGCCCGACGGUGAGGGACGAAAGCUGGGGGAGCGAACGGGAUUAGAUACCCCGGUAGUCCCAGCUGUAAACGAUGCAGGCUAGGUGUUGGGACGGCUACGAGCUGUUCCAGUGCCCCAGGGAAGCCAUUA